GCCGCAGGCUUUUGAAUGUAUAGCUUAGUGGGAAGAGAAAAAAAAAAUUGUCAGUCAUCUAUCUGUUACACUUCAUUCACUACUGUAUUUCUGUAUUGUGGGGUUCUUCCUACAAAAGAACAAAAAUUUUACUGAGUCCUAUUCAUUCCAUUUGAACUGUAGAGUGUUAAACAAAAACAAAUAUGAAAAAAAAUUAAGCUACCCCUAAAUCUUUAUUCUGUCUUUGUUCCGAGUACUUAAGAGUCAAAAUGUUGAGAAAUAUAUCAUCUUUAUGCCAUUGUACAUUUGGGAAAAAUCAAGACUUCAUAAACUUGUGGUAAUCUAUGUACUAUACAAAAUGAAGAAUUUACCAAAAGUUAAAGAAAAUGUUAAAAAGAAGUUAGUAACUCUAUGACUGCUACAACCUCUAUAACUAAGGACGCUGGACUUCAAACUGUCCUGUUUUAUGGGAAAAAAGCCCCACUUUCUGGGAUGUAAAACAACUGUUUUUUGAACUAUUGAAACAAAAACUUCCGGUAAAAAUCUUGUGUUUCUUUUCCUUCUGCUAUGUGACCAGCUAGCAAAAUAUGUCUGAUUUAAAGUGAUAUCUGUACCUUCCACUUACUGUGAGGCCAAUACCAUAGCUGCUGUGGGAAUGUUCAGCCAUUUUUGGAGAUCCUGUAGUUCCACUGGUAAAAUAGAUAGCCAUUGGAUCUUGACACUUUGUGGUCACACAGUGAUGAUCAGAAGGAGCAUUUCUUAAAAGAAGCAAAAUUAAUAAAGUGCUUGUCAGGGUGACCUACAUAUUUUUGAAAAUGUUUAACCAAAAUAACUGCAGCAGUCAGAAGUGUCAUAAACAAUGAUAUUUUUCCACUGUCAUGGUUUUGGCUGGGAUAGAGUUAAUUUUCUUCACUGUAUCUGGUAUAGUGUGUUUUGGAUUUAGUAUGAGAGUAAUGUUGAUAACACGCUGAUUUUUUAGUUGUUGCUAAGUAGUGCUUAUAAUAAUCAAGGGGUUUUCGGCUCCCCAUGCUCUGCCAGGGGCACAAGAAGCCAGGAUGGGAGGGGACUCAGCCAGGACAGCUGACCUAAACUGGCCAAAGGGAUAUUCCAUACCACAUGCCAUCAUGCCCAGUAUAUUAACUGGGGGGAGUUGGCCGAGGGGAGGUGUGAUUGUGGCUUGGGGUCCGGUGACGUGGGUCAGCGAGUGGUGAGCAGUUGCAUCACUUGUUUAUUUGAUUCCACCACACCCCUGCCCCAGGUUUUGCCUCUGUCUCAUUCUUUUCCUUUUAAUUAUAUUAUUGUUGUUAAUAUUAUUCUUACUAUUACCAUUUUAUUUUAAUUAUUAAACUGUUCUUGUCUCAA